rnacentral:rRNA from 1 species
AGACGUAGGGGGCAAGCGUUGUCCGGAAUUAUUGGGCGUAGAGGGCGCGUAGGCGGGAUAGUCAGUCUGUUGUAAAAGUUCGGGGCUCAACCCCGUGAAGCAAUGGAAACUGCUAUUCUUGAGUGCAGGAGAGGAAAGUGGAAUUCCCAGUGUAGCGGUGAAAUGCGUAGAUAUUGGGAGGAACACCAGUGGCGAAGGCGACUUUCUGGACUGUGUCUGACGCUGAGGCGCGAAAGCCAGGGGAGC